rnacentral:ncRNA from 1 species
GAAAGCGCGAACAUGAUAACUAGUAGAUUUCAUCCGGUUACAUAGAGAGCCAACGGUUGCUGGGAGUUGGUUGAUCGGUCGAGUCGAAUCCAUUAUCUAAGCGCAUGGUCCCGAACGAAGGGGUCACGGUGAGGCGUUAUACUCGUUGAGCGCAUCUUCAUUUGGAUGCGAAGUUGGGUGGUACCACGUUGACUAGUUAAUCAGACGUCCCAUGA